CCUGGCCAUUUGCCCUGGGAGAGGCAACAGCAUUCAAAAUAUGCUUGAUACCUCUACCAUUAAUAAAGUUUGAAAACUCUUUGCUAGUGAAACUUGUACCACGAUCUGAUAUUAUACGGCGUGGUACUCCAAACAGCGAGAAAUAUUCUGAAAUGGACCGCAAUGGUCAGUGUGGAGCGUAUCAAAUGGUUUGCUAAUUUUAGGUAUAGGAUGGAGCUCCCCUUCUUUAGCACCGGCCGGUAGUUUGUUAUGUGCGCAGCUUAAGCAAGAAUUGCAAUACUUUUUAAUAAAUCGUCGCAUUUUCUUAAACCAAUAAAUUUGAUUAACUCUA